GAAGGAAUCUUCGGCAAUGGGGGCAACCCUGACCGAGCAACGCCGCGUGAGUGAAGAAGGUUUUCGGAUCGUAAAGCUCUGUUGUCAGCCAAGAAUGUAUGUGAGAGUGGAAAGUUCACAUAGUGACGGUAACUGACCAGAAAGGGACGGCUAACUACGUGCCAGCAGCCGCGGUAAUACGUAGGUCCCGAGCGUUGUCCGGAUUUAUUGGGCGUAAAGCGAGCGCAGGCGGUUUCUUAAGUCUGGAGUAAAAGGCAGUGGCUUAACCAUUGUACGCUCUGGAAACUGGGGAACUUGAGUGCAGAAGGGGAGAGUGGAAUUCCAUGUGUAGCGGUGAAAUGCGUAGAUAUAUGGAGGAACACCGGUGGCGAAAGCGGCUCUCUGGUCUGUAACUGACGCUGAGGCUCGAAAGCGUGGGUAGCGAACAG
rnacentral:rRNA from 1 species